AUUGAACGCUGGCGGCAGGCCUUACCCAUGCAAGUCGAACGAGUGGCGGACGGGUGAGUAAUCUCUGGGAAACUGACUGGUGGCGGGGGAUAACUACUCGAAACGGUAGCUAAUACCGCAUACCAUUCGCUGUGCCCAUAUGGGAUUAGCUAGUUGGUGGGGUAACGGCUCACCAAGGCGACGAUCCCUAGCUGGUGUGAGAGGAUGACCAGCCACACUGGAACUGAGACACGGUCCAGACUCCUAAGUGAGGCAGCAGUGGGGAAUAUUGCACAAUGGGGGAAAGCCUGAUGCAGCCAUGCCGCGUGUAUGAAGAAGGCCUUCGGGUUGUAAAGUACUUUCAGCGGGGAGGCGUUACCCGCAGAAGAAGCACCGGCUAACUCCGUGCCAGCAGCCGCGGUAAGUC
rnacentral:rRNA from 1 species